AGUAUUAUCUAAAUUAAAGACUCAAAAUCAAUAAAUAUUCCAAUUAGGAAGAGAAAAGUCAUUCGACUACCUAAUAGCAUUUGAUAUUGAAAAAUAUUGACAAUUUUUUUUCAUUGGUUGAAAUGGCUACAUAUAUAGCCUAAAUCAACUCUAAUUUCAUAGUAUAACAAUAUAUAUUUUCCGUUUGAGAAUUCCUACAAGGGGAGGUUAAAAAACAAAGUGCGGCGCAGUAAUAAAUUAAUUAGAGUAAAGUAAAAUAGUGGACUGACAUGAAUGGAAGGAUAGUAUCAUAUUUUCCAAUCAUUCAAGAUCUUGGUUGUUAUCAGUAUCUUCUGAGUUUUGAUUUUAAUUGGUGAGUACACUUCAAGUUGAACAAUUCACCUCCCACAACUUCCUUUUCUCCUUCUAAAACAAAAAAAUCAUUUUCUUCAUUUUACAUCAACUCGUGCCCCC
rnacentral:lncRNA from 1 species